UACAGAGGUGGCAAGCGUUGUUCGGAAUUACUGGGCGUAAAGGGCGCGUAGGCGGUCUUGUAAGUCUUGUGUGAAAUCCCUCGGCUUAACUGAGGAACUGCACGGGAUACUGCGAGACUUGAGAUCGGGAGAGGGAAGCGGAAUUCCGGGUGUAGCGGUGAAAUGCGUAGAUAUUCGCAAGAACACCAGUGGCGAAGGCGGCUCACUGGCCCGGUACUGACGCUGAGGUGCGAAAGCGUGGGGAGCAAACAGG
rnacentral:rRNA from 1 species